GUAGUCAUAUGCUUGUCUCAAAGACUAAGCCAUGCAUGUGUUAGUAUGAACUGAUUUUAUAUAGUGAAACUGCGAAUGGCUCAUUACAUCAGUUAUAGUUUAUUUGAUGGAUACGCGUUCAGCACUACAUGGAUACCUGUAGUAACAUAGAGCUAAUACAUGCAUAAGAAUCUGACUUUACGGAAGGAUUUGCACUUAUUAGAUACCAAACCAAUAUCCUCUCGGGGAUUUAUUAGGUGAAUCACAAUAACUGAACAAAUCGCAUAGUCUUGCACUGGCGAUGUAUCAAUCAAGUUUCUGCCCUAUCAACUUGAUGUUAGUGUAUUGUACUAACAUGGUUUUUACGGGUAACAGAGGAUUAGGGUUCGAUCCUGGAGAAGGAGCAUGAGAAAUGGCUACUAUUCUAAGGAAAGCAGCAGGCG
rnacentral:rRNA from 1 species